rnacentral:lncRNA from 10 species
GGUUGGUCUGAACUCAGACCCUGGUGGGGAGUGGUCAGAUGCCCACAUUAGUAGAUGGGGCUAGGUAAACCCCCAACCCCCAGGCCCCUAGAUGGCCCACUGGAUGUAUCUUUCAGGCACAUAAAAGAGCCCAGCCUCCCUGUUCUGUGAAAGGAUAUGUUGAUGCACUCUGGACCACUGGACGUAUAAAACUUCACCAUUAUGGCAAGAUGGCGAGCUCCAGCAACUGGCCAGAAUAGGUCUCACUACGACAUCUAGACAUGACAUGACUUGCAACAUUUAAUGUUUUACAAUGCUGGUAGUGAUUUGGAAAUACCACUGGAAUCAACAGCUUAGGAGUCUAAAUUAUUUUUCUUGUGUUCAAGCUACCAAUAUAUUUCCUUUUCAUUUGAAUUGUUAUUCUGGAAACUUUUGAAGCCAGCAGAGGUGAAGCAAAGAUAUUGGUCUACAUUUCCUACAUUUUAGCUUUCAGCUACAGUUCCCUCUUUACUAUGGCUGAACAUAUAUCUCCUUAGGGUGUCUCUACUGUUCACGGAUUUUGAAUCUCUGAAAGAGAAAUAUCUUUGGGGAAUGUGAAGAGAACCACACUUGUACUACAUCUGCGGGCUCUCUUUUCCGCAGUAAUUCCAUAAUAAUAAACAUGUUUAAAAAUCCAUUACAAUGGUAAAUCUGGAGAUGGUGGAUUGUUUUGAAUUUGUAUCAGUAGCAUAAACAAUUUCACACUUCAAAUGGAAUUUCUACUAAAACACUCAUACUAGAACAUAAUGUAAAACAGAUAGAUUUGCACAAAUAAGAUAUUGCUACUUUGUUUUAAGAUAUUGCUGCUUUGUUUUAAAAUAUUGGCAUAGAUAAAAAUGUAUUAUUCAUAUCAACUCUUUUCAUUGCUUUGAAACUGAAAAUUACUUAUGUUGCCAGCUCUGAAUAAAUAUGUGUUUGUGCCUUGGCAACCAUGAUAUGUUCAUCUAGUUUGGUGUGAAAUGUGGAACUAUCUCAUGCUUCACAGUUUUACCUUCUAUUCUUUAGGGUCUUUUUGCCUUGUCCUCUUUAUAUGUCUAUUUUUGGGGGGCUGGGGUGAGGCUGGUGGCUUCAUAGAGUUCUUCUUUGUCUGAGUCCUACAG